UCAUUAGUUUUUUAAUUGAAAGCUUGUAUGAAGGGUUUGACAAAGAAAAGGCUGUCUUUAUUUUUAGGUUUGAAGUUAACUUUUAAGUGAAAAGGCUUAAAUGAAUUUAAGGGACGAUAAGACCCUAUAAAUCUUUAUAUUAGUAUAAUUUUUUGUAUAUUAAUGGAAAUGUUAAAAUAACAAAUAGAUUGGAGAUAUUUUGUUGGGGUGAUGAGAAUAUAAAAUUAACUGUUCUUAUAAUUAAACAAAGUUGUUUGUUUGAUAUUAGUAGAUCCUUUUUAGAGAUUAAAAGUUUAAGUUACUUUAGGGAUAACAGCGUUAUUUUUUUUGAGAGUUCUUAUCGAAAAAAGAGUUUGCGACCUCGAUGUUGAAUUAAAAUUUCUCUAUGGUGUAGAAGUUGUAGGAGGAAAGUCUGUUCGACUUUUGAAAUUUU
rnacentral:rRNA from 1 species